rnacentral:rRNA from 1 species
GACGAACGCUGGCGGCGUGCUUAGCACAUGCAAGUCGAGCGAUGAAGCUUCUUCGGAAGUGGAUUAGCGGCGGACGGGUGAGUAACACGUGGGUAACCUGCCUCAUAGAGGGGAGUAGCCUUCCGAAAGGAAGAUUAAUACCGCAUAAGAUUGUAGCUUCGCAUGAAGCAGCAAUUAAAGGAGCAAUCCGCUAUGAGAUGGACCCGCGUCGCAUUAGCUAGUUGGUGAGGUAACGGCUCACCAAGGCGACGAUGCGUAGCCGACCUGAGAGGGUGAUCGGCCACAUUGGGACUGAGACACGGCCCAGACUCCUACGGGAGGCAGCAGUGGGGAAUAUUGCACAAUGGGGGAAACCCUGAUGCAGCAACGCCGCGUGAGUGAUGACGGUCUUCGGAUUGUAAAGCUCUGUCUUUAGGGACGAUAAUGACGGUACCUAUGGAGGAAGCCACGGCUAACUACGUGCCAGCCGCCGCGGUAA